UAGGAUCUGUUCGAUGACUGGAGUU
rnacentral:misc_RNA from 1 species